GAUACUAACUUGAGUCUUCAAAAAAUGAGUAUCAAACUAACACUAUCUAUAAUUUCCCCUUUCCAAUUCGAGUUUUCCUGUGGACUCCCCUCUGUCAAACUAAUUAUAUGCAUCAACUAAAUAUAUAACACCAAAACAAAUAAUUUUGUCUCUAUUAUAAGUUGAAACUGAAUUGGACAAAAUGCAUGCUUAUAAGAAAAUAAAUUUUAUGGGUAACAUUAAUUUUAAGAUAUUUCCAACAAUCUCAAUUGCCUAAUAACACAUUGCAGUAAGCCAGGAACCACCAAUAUCAAAGUAAAGCUUACCCAUAGCCCAAUCCACAAAUUAAUGGGAUAAAAUUAAAAAAAAAUUAUGAUAUAUUGUCUUCUUCGCACUUGCUUUUUUUACUUUAUGGGCCCGACACUAUUUUCUUUUCAUGGUCGAGAUUUUCGCUGUUGAAAUUUGUUUCAUUUUUCUAGUUUUCCCUAUUGAAGCUUCCUCAUUUGAAAUCAAUUCACAAUCGAGGCUCCUUCUAAAAGACAUCGAAGAAUUGGGUUUGUGUAUGGGUCAGGACUUUGAGGUGAGAAUGUUCGCAACUAUAAAAGAACAAUGAAGCCAAUAUGAAAAAUACCUUUAGUCGGCCGGCGACACUUGAAGUUGACUGAAGCUUCAGAGCCAGCGGCGUCGAGGCAAGAGAGAGUCAGAGAGUGAGAGAC
rnacentral:lncRNA from 1 species